AUUGAACGCUGGCGGCGUGCCUAACACAUGCAAGUCGAACGCGAAAGGGAGCAAUCCCGAGUAGAGUGGCGGACGGGUGAGUAACGCGUAGGAAUCUACCUAGUUGUGGGGGAAAACACGGCGAAAGCCGUGCUAAUACCGCAUACGACCUAAGGGUGAAAGCAGGGGAUCGUAAGACCUUGCGCAAUUAGAUGAGCCUGCGUCCGAUUAGCUAGUUGGUGAGGUAAUGGCUCACCAAGGCGACGAUCGGUAACUGGUCUGAGAGGACGACCAGUCACAUUGGGACUGAGACACGGCCCAAACUCCUACGGGAGGCAGCAGUGGGGAAUAUUGGACAAUGGGGAAAACCCUGAUCCAGCGACGCCGCGUGUGUGAAGAAGACCUUCGGGUUGUAAAGCACUUUCGGCAGGGACAAACAAGACGGAGCUAACAUCUCCGUAUCUGAUGGUACCUGAAGAAGAAGCACCGGCUAACUCUGUGCCAGCAGCCGCCGUAACAC
rnacentral:rRNA from 1 species